rnacentral:rRNA from 1 species
AACGAACGCUGGCGGCAUGCCUAACACAUGCAAGUCGAACGAGACCUUCGGGUCUAGUGGCGCACGGGUGCGUAACGCGUGGGAACCUGCCCUUAGGUUCGGAAUAACCCCCCGAAAGGGGUGCUAAUACCGGAUAAUGUCUUCGGACCAAAGAUUUAUCGCCUUUGGAUGGGCCCGCGUUGGAUUAGCUAGUUGGUAGGGUAAAAGCCUACCAAGGCGACGAUCCAUAGCUGGUCUGAGAGGAUGAUCAGCCACACUGGGACUGAGACACGGCCCAGACUCCUACGGGAGGCAGCAGUGGGGAAUAUUGGACAAUGGGCGAAAGCCUGAUCCAGCAAUGCCGCGUGAGUGAUGAAGGCCUUAGGGUUGUAAAGCUCUUUUACCUGGGAUGAUAAUGACAGUACCGGGAGAAUAAGCUCCGGCUAACUCCGUG